rnacentral:rRNA from 1 species
AAGGAAUAUUGGUCAAUGGACGCAAGUCUGAACCAGCCAUGCCGCGUGAAGGAUGAAGGUCCUCUGGAUUGUAAACUUCUUUUAUAUGGGACGAAAAAAGGGGAUUCUUCCUCACUUGACGGUACCAUAGGAAUAAGCACCGGCUAACUCCGUGCCAGCAGCCGCGGUAAUACGGAGGGUGCAAGCGUUAUCCGGAUUCACUGGGUUUAAAGGGAGCGUAGGUGGGCAGGUAAGUCAGUGGUGAAAUCUCCGGGCUUAACCCGGAAACUGCCAUUGAUACUAUCUGUCUUGAAUAUCCUGGAGGUAAGCGGAAUAUGUCAUGUAGCGGUGAAAUGCUUAGAUAUGACAUAGAACACCCAUUGCGAAGGCAGCUUACUACGGGAUGAUUGACACUGAGGCUCGAAAGCGUGGGGAUCAAACAGGA